rnacentral:rRNA from 1 species
GACGAACGCUGGCUGCGUGCUUAACACAUGCAAGUCGAACGGUAAGGCCCUUCGGGGUACACGAGUGGCGAACGGGUGAGUAACACGUGGGUUAUCUGCCCUGCACUUCGGGAUAAGCCUGGGAAACUGGGUCUAAUACCGGAUAGGACCACUGCCUGCAGGGGUGGGGGGGGAAAGCUUUUGCGGUGUGGGAAGGGCCCGCGGCCUAUCAGCUUGUUGGUGGGGUGAUGGCCUACCAAGGCGACGACGGGUAGCCGGACUGAGAGGGUGACCGGCCGCACGGGGAAUGAGAUACGGCCCAGACUCCUACGGGAGGCAGCAGUGGGGAAUAUUGCACAAUGGGCGCAAGCCUGAUGCAGCGACGCCGCGUGAGGGAUGACGGCCUUCGGGUUGUAAACCUCUUUCAGCACCGACGAAGCGCAAGUGACGGUAGGUGCAGAAGAAGGACCGGCCAACUACGUGCCAGCAGCCGCGGUAA